rnacentral:rRNA from 1 species
GUCUACAGCCAUGCUACCCUGAACAAGCCCGAUCCUGUCUAAUCUCAGAAGGUAAGCAGGGUUGGGCCUGAUUUGUACUUGGAUGAGAGACCACCUAGGAAGACCAGAUGCUGUAGGUG